CUCACUCCCUCUAUUGCCUCUCCAGACCCAGACUUCACCCUCAGGUCACCCUCACCUGGACUUUGGGGUGCCCCACACCCCGCCCCAGGCCCUGGCCUCUGGAAUAUUUGGAAACUUGAACUGGGCCAGAGGCUUAAGCUCACAUCUGUCUGGAGCCUCAACUUUCUCCUCUGUAAAAUGGGCUAACACUGAAAGAACCUUGCAGAAUCUCAGCAACGUCACAGAGGACAUUGUUAGCACAGCCAGCGGGCUCCUGCUGGGCUGAGUUUGUGGGUAAUCCAAGCCUCGGCAGGUACAGUUCCUCCCUCAGGGCCCAGGACACAGUGAGCAUACAAUAGACAUUAGCUGCUGUGGUGUCUUGAUUUCAAGCCCAGUGCAGAUGCAUCUGACUUACGAAACUUCAGUGACACCUGCUCUGUGCCAGACACUGAAGAUGGAGCAGUGAACAGCACUGACCCAGCCUGUCCUCCUGUUGCCUGCAGGCCAGACGGAGUCUCACUCUGUCACCAGGCUGGAGUACAGUGGUGUGAUCUCGGCUCACUGCAACCUCCGCCUCCCAGGUUCAAGCGAUUCUCCUGCCUCAGCCUCUCAAGUAGCUGAGAUUA
rnacentral:lncRNA from 1 species